GACGAACGCGGCGGCGUGCCUAAUACAUGCAAGUAGAACGCUGAAGGAGAAGCUUGCUUCUCGGAUGAGUUGCGAACGGGUGAGUAACGCGUAGGUAACCUGCCUGGUAGCGGGGGAUAACUAUUGGAAACGAUAGCUAAUACCGCAUAAGAGUAGAUGUUGCAUGACAUUUGCUUAAAAGGUGCAAUUGCAUCACUACCAGAUGGACCUGCGUUGUAUUAGCUAGUUGGUGGGGUAACGGCUCACCAAGGCGACGAUACAUAGCCGACCUGAGAGGGUGAUCGGCCACACUGGGACUGAGACACGGCCCAGACUCCUACGGGAGGCAGCAGUAGGGAAUCUUCGGCAAUGGACGGAAGUCUGACCGAGCAACGCCGCGUGAGUGAAGAAGGUUUUCGGAUCGUAAAGCUCUGUUGUAAGAGAAGAACGAGUGUGAGAGUGGAAAGGUCACAACU
rnacentral:rRNA from 1 species